UACGUAGGGUGCGAGCGUUGCCCGGAUUUAUUGGGCGUAAAGGGCGCGUAGGCGGCUCGGCACGUCCGUUGUGAAAUCGCCCGGCUCAACUGGGCGGGGUCAGCGGAUACGGCCGAGCUUGAGCAAGCUAGGGGGCAAUGGAAUUCCCGGUGUAGCAGUGAAAUGCGUAGAGAUCGGGAGGAACAUCUGUGGCGAAGGCGACUGCCUGGACCAGCACUGACACUGAGGCACGAAAGCGUGGGGAGCAAACAGG
rnacentral:rRNA from 1 species